rnacentral:rRNA from 1 species
UACGAAGGGUGCAAACGUUGCUCGGAAUUAUUGGGCGUAAAGCGCACGUAGGCGGCUUUGCAAGUCGGAUGUGAAAUCCCUCGGCUUAACCAAGGAAGUGCAUCCGAAACUGCAGAGCUUGAGUACUUAAGAGGAUCGCGGAAUUCCAGGUGUAGCGGUGAAAUGCGUAGAUAUCUGGAGGAACACCGGUGGCGAAGGCGGCAGCCUGGACCGGCAUUGACGCUGAGGCGCGAAAGCCAGGGGAGCAAACGGG